UACGAAGGGGGCUAGCGUUGCUCGGAAUUACUGGGCGUAAAGCGCACGUAGGCGGAUUGUUAAGUCGGGGGUGAAAUCCUGGAGCUCAACUCCAGAACUGCCUUCGAUACUGGCGAUCUCGAGUCCGGAAGAGGAGAGUGGAAUUCCCGGUGUAGCGGUGAAAUGCGCAGAUAUCGGGAAGAACACCCGUGGCGAAGGCGGCUCUCUGGGACGGUACUGACGCUGAGACGCGAAAGCGUGGGGAGCGAACAGG
rnacentral:rRNA from 1 species